rnacentral:rRNA from 1 species
ACGGUGAAACUCAAAGGAAUUGACGGGGGCCCGCACAAGCGGAGGAACAUGUGGUUUAAUUCGAUGAUACGCGAGGAACCUUACCCGGGCUCAAACGACGGAUGGAUGUUUCUGAAAGGAGGCAGUCCUACGGGACAUCCGUCGAGGUGCUGCAUGGUUGUCGUCAGCUCGUGCCGUGAGGUGUCGGCUUAAGUGCCAUAACGAGCGCAACCCCCAUCGCCAGUUACCAGCAAGUAAAGUUGGGGACUCUGGCGAGACUGCCGGCGCAAGUUGUGAGGAAGGCGGGGAUGACGUCAAAUCAGCACGGCCCUUACGUCCGGGGCGACACACGUGUUACAAUGGCAGGUACAGAGAGAAGCGAUGCGGCGACGCAGAGCGGAACUUCAAAGCCUGUCUCAGUUCGGAUUGGAGUCUGCAACCCGACUCCAUGAAGCUGGAUUCGCUAGUAAUCGCGCAUCAGCCACGGCGCGGUGAAUACGUUCCCGGGCCUUGUACACACCGCCCGUCAAGCCAUGGAAGCCGGGAGUGCCUGAAGUGUGCAACCGCAAGGAGCGCCCUAAGGUAAAACCGGUGACUGGGGCUAAGUCGUAACAAGGUAGCCGU